ACCGUGAGGUGUAGGCGAGAAGAAGAAAUAUCGAAAUCGUAGCCUGACGAAUUGAAACCUGAUAUAAAGGCGUUUGCGUUGGAUAAUCUGGGUAAAAGCAGUUAAGUCCAAAAGACAACCGUACCCAUAGAUGUAAAUAAGACAAAUAAAUGAUGAUAG
rnacentral:ncRNA from 1 species